GGUUAAAACUCAAAUGAUGACGGGGGCCCGCACAAGCGGUGGAGCAUGUGUUUUAAUACGAUGCAACGCGAAGAACCUUACCUACUCUUGACAUCCAGAGAACUUUCCAGAGAUGGAUUGGUGCCUUCGGGAACUCUGAGACAGGUGCUGCAUGGCUGUCGUCAGCUCGUGUUGUGAAAUGUUGGGUUAAGUCCCGCAACGAGCGCAACCCUUAUCCUUUGUUGCCAGCGGUUCGGCCGGGAACUCAAAGGAGACUGCCAGUGAUAAACUGGAGGAAGGUGGGGAUGACGUCAAGUCAUCAUGGCCCUUACGAGUAGGGCUACACACGUGCUACAAUGGCGCAUACAAAGAGAAGCGACCUCGCGAGAGCAAGCGGACCUCAUAAAGUGCGUCGUAGUCCGGAUUGGAGUCUGCAACUCGACUCCAUGAAGUCGGAAUCGCUAGUAAUCGUAGAUCAGAAUGCUACGGUGAAUACGUUCCCGGGCCUUGUACACACCGCCCGUCACACCAUGGGAGUGGGUUGCAAAAGAAGUAGGUAGCUUAACCUUCGGGAGGGCGCUUACCACUUUGGAUUC
rnacentral:rRNA from 1 species